GACGAACGCUGGCGGCGUGCUUUACACAUGCAAGUCGAACGGUGAAGGUGGAGCUUGCUCCGCCGGAUCAGUGGCGAACGGGUGAGUAACACGUGGGCAACCUGCCCCUAACUGUGGGAUAACUACUCGAAAGAGUAGCUAAUACCGGAGAUGAAGUCUGUGGCAUCUACGGAUUUGGAAAGUUUUUCGGUUAGGGAUGGGCCCGCGGCCUAUCAGCUUGUUGGUGAGGUAGUGGCUCACCAAGGCGACGACGGGUAGCCGGCCUGAGAGGGCGACCGGCCACACUGGGACUGAGACACGGCCCAGACUCCUACGGGAGGCAGCAGUGGGGAAUAUUGCGCAAUGGGCGAAAGCCUGACGCAGCAACGCCGCGUGCAGGAUGAGGGCCUUCGGGUUGUAAACCGCUUUCAGCAGGGAAGAAGCGAAAGUGACGGUACCUGCAGAAGAAGCACCGGCUAACUACGUGCCAGCCGCCGCCGUAA
rnacentral:rRNA from 1 species